rnacentral:sRNA from 1 species
ACACGCCUUGCCUCCCGCCCGGUGGUUU